ACGACGCUGGCGGCGUGCCUAACACAUGCAAGUCGAACGAGGUCCAUCCCUUCGGGAGAAGACCUAGUGGCGAACGGGUGAGUAACACGUGAGGAACCUGCCCCGAAGACCGGGAUAACCCUCCGAAAGGAGAGCUAAUACCGGAUACCCCCACCGAGCCGCAUGGUUUGGUGAGGAAAUGGAUUCCGCUUCGGGAGGGCCUCGCGGCCUAUCAGCUAGUUGGUGGGGUAACGGCCCACCAAGGCAUCGACGGGUAGCUGGUCUGAGAGGACGAUCAGCCACACUGGGACUGAGACACGGCCCAGACUCCUACGGGAGGCAGCAGUGGGGAAUCUUGCGCAAUGGGCGAAAGCCUGACGCAGCAACGCCGCGUGGGGAUGAAGGCUCUCGGGUUGUAAACCCCUUUCAGCAGGGACGAAUCAAGACGGUACCUGCAGAAGAAGCCCCGGCUAACUACGUG
rnacentral:rRNA from 1 species